rnacentral:rRNA from 1 species
CCUACGGGAGGCAGCAGUAGGGAAUAUUGCUCAAUGGGGGAAACCCUGAAGCAGCAACGCCGCGUGGAGGAUGAAGGUUUUCGGAUUGUAAACUCCUUUUGUUAGAGAAGAUAAUGACGGUAUCUAACGAAUAAGCACUGGCUAAAGCCGUGCCAGCAGCCGCGGUAAUACGGAGGGUGCAAGCGUUACUCGGAAUCACUGGGCGUAAAGGGCGCGUAGGCGGGUUCGCAAGACAGAUGUGAAAUCCUAUGGUUUAACCAUUGAACUGCAUUUGAAACUGGUAUUCUAGAGUAUGGGAGAGGUAGGUGGAAUGCGUGGUGUAGGGGUAAAAUCCGUAGAGAUCAAGAGGAAUACUCAUUGCGAAGGCGACCUGCUAGAACAUAACUGACGCUGAUGCGCGAAAGCGUGGGGAGCAAACAGGAUUAGAUACCCGAGUAGUC